CAGCACUCUGAUCAGAAGCAAGGAUACCUCUAGUGAUCCAGGGCAUGUAGGUGAAGAUGAGCAAGGCAGGUACAAAAGCUCAGGUCACUCAAGGUGUCCGGGGAGCUCAGUGCCUACAGAUUUGGGCUUCAGCCUCUUGUUCAAAGCAUCUAGAAUUACUCGAACUCUGAUGGCAAGGUCUGAAUGAGAAGCUGAAGAAUGCUACUCCCUUACAGAUAAUUCCAUAAAGCUCUCCUGUUUUCUCCCAACAGUGCCUCCCUCUCCCCUUCUGGUCCCAGUGCCGUAACAUAUGGUAGUAUUUGGAGAGCCACUUGGGCCUGGGAGCUGGCCUGGCUGCCCACACCUGCGUGCCCCCUGCCUCGCCACUCAGGUCACGCUCCAACACUUGGGCCUGAGCUUGCUCCUUCACCCUCCUCAGGGGCACGCCGGGUGCUGCCAUGUGGCUCUGGGGAUGACAUGUGUCACUUGGUGCCCUGGGGAUGAGAUGUGUCACUUGGUGUCCCUGUGAGCGUGUGUCACCCCAGAACUCCCCACGCAACCUUGAUGAGGCUUCUCCUUCAGGUGGCCGUGAUGGGGGCCACUCAUUGUCUCAAAAAUGACGAUGGAAGUACCCAAAAGCCCCAAGAGAGUGCACAGAAUCCAUUGGGUUAGAAGGAACCACAGUGGAUCAUCUGGUCCGACCUCCCAUGGCACAGAGUUACAUCCCGAUGGUUCUUGCUUCUCUCCAGUGAGUGAGACUCCACAACCUCUCCAGGCAACCUGCCGCCCGCACAGCAAAGUUCGCACUCACAUUCAGGUGCAACUUCCUGGGCAUCACUUUCUGCCCGCUGCCUCUUGUCCUGCGGCUUGGCAUCACCGAGCAGAGCCCGGCUCCAUGCUCUGACACCCCCUCUAGAUAUUUACAGACACUGGUGCUGUCCUUCCCGAGGCCGAGCAGCCC